GACGAACGCUGGCGGCGUGCUUAACACAUGCAAGUCGAACGGAAAGGCCCUGCUUUUGUGGGGUGCUCGAGUGGCGAACGGGUGAGUAACACGUGAGUAACCUGCCCUUGACUUUGGGAUAACGUCAGGAAACUGGGGCUAAUGCCGUGUAGGAGCUCGUGCUGCAUGGUGGGGGUUGGAAAGUUUCGGCGGUUGGGGCUGGACUCGCGGCUUAUCAGCUUGUUGGUGGGGUAGUGGCUUACCAAGGCUUUGACGGGUAGCCGGCCUGAGAGGGUGACCGGCCACAUUGGGACUGAGAUACGGCCCAGACUCCUACGGGAGGCAGCAGUGGGGAAUAUUGCACAAUGGGCGGAAGCCUGAUGCAGCAACGCCGCGUGCGGGAUGACGGCCUUCGGGUUGUAAACCGCUUUCGCCUGUGACGAAGCGUGAGUGACGGUAAUGGGUAAAGAAGCACCGGCUAACUACGUG
rnacentral:rRNA from 1 species